CGUAGGGUGCGAGCGUUGUCCGGAAUUAUUGGGCGUAAAAGAGCUCGUAGGCGGUUUGUCGCGUCUGCUGUGAAAACCUGAGGCUCAACCUUGGGCUUGCAGUGGGUACGGGCAGGCUAGAGUGCGGUAGGGGAGAUUGGAAUUCCUGGUGUAGCGGUGGAAUGCGCAGAUAUCAGGAGGAACACCGAUGGCGAAGGCAGAUCUCUGGGCCGCUACUGACGCUGAGGAGCGAAAGCAUGGGGAGCGAACCAGGA
rnacentral:rRNA from 1 species